UGACAUUUUAACCAUAGUGCUGUUGUUUAUAUUCAAAUUAAUAGCAUUGUGUUGGAAAUGUCGUC
rnacentral:pre_miRNA from 1 species